rnacentral:lncRNA from 1 species
AGCAAAUUCUGAGAUGAUUUUAUUCUUCCUUUGUAUUACCCAGACCGAAGGGGUUUGAAGUCUUGAGAAUUUGCAGUCUCGUUUCAGACUCUCCCGUCUCCUUUUUUCAGCAUCGAGUGAACAGGGUUUUGCUCCUCCCCUAUGAAGAGUUUUUUGUGCUAUUGAAGCAGGGCUGAUUUCCGUAUCUGGAAGGGGCAUCUUGGGGGCAGAGUGUACACAGUGAUUUCCUUAGGACCGGAAGGAUUACAGCCCGACUUUCUCUAUAGAGCACCUUCCCUUUGCCUAAAAGGCACUAUGUCAAAUGUUACCAGCAGGUCGAGGGAUUCCCUACCUCCCGUGCUAUCUGUUUGGAGCUGUUGGCAUCAUGUUCCUGGGGCUCCGAAGCUGCUGGGAAACAGGAGUGUUCUGCUUGAAUUCCCUCCUCCCCACCAUGAGACCCCUUUUUGAUUCUUUUCUAUCUCAGGACAGAGCAGACUCUGCUGGCAGUUUUCUGGCAGCUGCUUUUGUGUCUCACCUGGCUGCUGGUCAUAAGAGUUCACGAGCAUUUCCUGGGUGACUGCCAGGGAGCCGUUGUGGGUUUGGGGGUGACUCCCAGGAGCUUACACACGAAGGGGUAGAUGUGGAUGCUGUUAAAAGUCUCGGCCAGGCCAUUCCUCUUGAAAUCUGGCCCGAAAUCUCUGAAUAUGGUCUUCAUAUCCAUGAGGACAUUAUCAAAGCCAUGGCUGCCUUUGUUGAAACACAUUAUAAUUCUCUGAAAAAUAAUAAAAAUAAAAAAGCCAUUUUAGAUUCCAAUCCGCUGAAAGAAAACUGUCCGUUAGUUAAUGUCAUGCUUGUUGGAUCCAUGAAGUCUUUGAGAAUUUAAACUACAAGGACACUGCUCUCUGUGGUGGUGGAGAGAAUACCAAGGAUUUAAAGGUCUUUAAGAAAGAGAAUGUAGAAAGCGUACCCAUUGGAAACAGCGAGAUGAUGAUAAUCGUACUGACAGUAAUAAUAAGCUCAAAUAUAUAGAGCUUACUAUGUAUCAUGAAUUGUCCUGAAUGCUUCAUAAAUAUACGUUCCCUCCUUUACCCUCAUGGCAGCCCAGUAAAGGCGCCAUUCCCCAUUUUACAGCUGGGGAAACUGAGUUACAGAGAUUGUCUGCACUGAGUCAACAGGAGCAAAUGCUAGAUCAGGUCUAGCUGGAGUACAG